GAUUCCCAACAGUAUCUUUCGCUUUAGCUAGAAACGAGUCCCCUGUUGCUUCUGAUAACUCCAAAAGAGUCUGGAAGGCUGAGAGUUCCUAACUGAGCUCGUGCUGUUACGUAUAAUGGAGUUCUUUUCAUAAGGAUUCCAGGGUACACUAAAAAAAAGCUGAGACAUCAAGCCUCAUGGACUUAGCAACUCCUGGUUUCUUGGACUCUCCCUUCAUAGCCAGCCAUUGUCGGAUUAAUUGAACCAAAGCCUAAGCAUUUAUUGGAACGUGCUGGAGACAGACACAUGCCUUUGCUGACUGUCACCUACUGAGAACAGUUGUUUGGCUUGAAUAAGGGGAAGAGACUGCUCUUCCACAUUUCUCAAGAUUCUGCACAGCAACCCCUUGACAGAGCUACAGGAGGAAGAAGGAAGCAGGAAGCUGGCAAUAAAAGCAGAUGUGCACACUCUUCUGCCAGCUGUGAGAGGAAAACACAGCCCCUCCUAUGUUUAUCUUGAACAGGUUCUUGUUUUGGGUUUUGGUUUUAUGCAGUACAAGAUAUAUCUUAAAUAGUACUUCCCGGGA